GACGAGUGGCGAACGGGUGAGUAAUACAUCGGAACGUGCCUAGUAGUGGGGGAUAACUACUCGAAAGAGUAGCUAAUACCGCAUGAGAUCUACGGAUGAAAGCAGGGGAUCGCAAGACCUUGUGCUACUAGAGCGGCUGAUGGCAGAUUAGGUAGUUGGUGGGAUAAAAGCUUACCAAGCCGACGAUCUGUAGCUGGUCUGAGAGGACGAUCAGCCACACUGGGACUGAGACACGGCCCAGACUCCUACGGGAGGCAGCAGUGGGGAAUUUUGGACAAUGGGCGAAAGCCUGAUCCAGCAAUGCCGCGUGCAGGAUGAAGGCCUUCGGGUUGUAAACUGCUUUUGUACGGAACGAAAAGCUUUGGGUUAAUACCCUGGAGUCAUGACGGUACCGUAAGAAUAAGCACCGGCUAACUACGUGCCAGCAGCCGCGGUAAUACGUAGGGUGCAAGCGUUAAUCGGAAUUACUGGGCGUAAAGCGUGCGCAGGCGGUUUUGUAAGACAGAGGUGAAAUCCCCGGGCUCAACCUGGGAACUGCCUUUGUGACUGCAAGGCUAGAGU
rnacentral:rRNA from 1 species